GAUGAAGAACUCAGCGAAAUGCGAUAAGUAAUGUGAAUUGCAGAAUUCAGUGAAUCAUCGAAUCUUUGAACGCACCUUGCGCCCUUUGGCCAUUCCGAAGGGCAUGCCUGUUUGAGUAUCAUGAACACCUCAACUCUUCAUGGUUUUCCGUGAUGAGCUUGGACUUUGGGGGUCUUGCUGGCCCAUGGUCAGCUCCUCUAAAAUAAAUCAGCUUGCCAGUGUUUGGUGGGUAUCACAGGUGUGAUAACUAUCUACGCUUGUGGUUUUCCACCAGGUAACCUUCAGCAGUGGAGGUUCGCUGGAGCUCACAGAUGUGUCUCUCCUCAGUGAGGACAGCUCUUUGAAUGUUUGAUCUCAAAUCAGGUAGGACUACCCGCUGAACUUAAGCAUAUUAAUAAGCGGAGGA
rnacentral:misc_RNA from 1 species